UAAGGAAUAUUGGGCAAUGGGCGCAAGCCUGACCCAGCGACACCGCGUGCAUGAAGAAGGUCUUCGGAUUGUAAAGUGCUGUUCCGUGUUAAGAAAAGCCCUAGGUGAAUAAUGCUAGGGGCUUGACUAAGGCGCGGGAGGAAGAGAUUGCUAACUCUGUGCCAGCAGCAGCGGUAAUACAGAGAUCUCAACCGUUAUUCGGAAUUACUGGGCUUAAAGGGUGAGUAGGCUGUGAACAAAGUUGGUUGUAAAAUACUCUGACUUAAACAGAGAAAGUCAGCCAAAACUAGUUUACUAGAGUGUGGUAGGGGGGAGUGGAACUUCUGGUGGAGCGGUGAAAUGCGUUGAUAUCAGAAGGAACGCCGGAGGCGAAAGCGACUCUCUGGACCACAACUGACGC
rnacentral:rRNA from 1 species